AGUUUGAUCCUGGCUCAGGAUGAACGCUAGCUACAGGCUUAACACAUGCAAGUCGAGGGGCAGCAUGGUCUUAGCUUGCUAAGGCCGAUGGCGACCGGCGCACGGGUGAGUAACACGUAUCCAACCUGCCGUCUACUCUUGGACAGCCUUCUGAAAGGAAGAUUAAUACAAGAUGGCAUCAUGAGUCCGCAUGUUCACAUGAUUAAAGGUAUUCUGGUAGACGAUGGGGAUGCGUUCCAUUAGAUAGUAGGCGGGGUAACGGCCCACCUAGUCUUCGAUGGAUAGGGGUUCUGAGAGGAAGGUCCCCCACAUUGGAACUGAGACACGGUCCAAACUCCUACGGGAGGCAGCAGUGAGGAAUAUUGGUCAAUGGGCGCAGGCCUGAACCAGCCAAGUAGCGUGAAGGAUGACUGCCCUAUGGGUUGUAAACUUCUUUUAUAAAGGAAUAAAGUCGGGUAUGUAUACCCGUUUGCAUGUACUUUAUGAAUAAGGAUCGGCUAACUCCGUGCCAGCAGCCGCGGUAAUACGGAGGAUCCGAGCGUUAUCCGGAUUUAUUGGGUUUAAAGGGAGCGUAGAUGGAUGUUUAAGUCAGUUGUGAAAGUUUGCGGCUCAACCGUAAAAUUGCAGUUGAUACUGGAUAUCUUGAGUGCAGUUGAGGCAGGCGGAAUUCGUGGUGUAGCGGUGAAAUGCUUAGAUAUCACGAAGAACUCCGAUUGCGAAGGCAGCCUGCUAAGCUGCAACUGACAUUGAGGCUCGAAAGUGUGGGUAUCAAACAGGAUUAGAUACCCUGGUAGUCCACACGGUAAACGAUGAAUACUCGCUGUUUGCGAUAUACAGCAAGCGGCCAAGCGAAAGCGUUAAGUAUUCCACCUGGGGAGUACGCCGGCAACGGUGAAACUCAAAGGAAUUGACGGGGGCCCGCACAAGCGGAGGAACAUGUGGUUUAAUUCGAUGAUACGCGAGGAACCUUACCCGGGCUUAAAUUGCAGAUGAAUUACGGUGAAAGCCGUAAGCCGCAAGGCAUCUGUGAAGGUGCUGCAUGGUUGUCGUCAGCUCGUGCCGUGAGGUGUCGGCUUAAGUGCCAUAACGAGCGCAACCCUUGUUGUCAGUUACUAACAGGUUCCGCUGAGGACUCUGACAAGACUGCCAUCGUAAGAUGUGAGGAAGGUGG
rnacentral:rRNA from 1 species